rnacentral:tRNA from 1 species
GCAGUGAUGGCCUAGUAGUUAAGGUGUUAGACCUGCAGUCCAGUGGGGUAUCCCCAAGCAGGUUCAAACCCUGCCUACUGUG